rnacentral:rRNA from 1 species
AAUCAACGCUGGCGGCGCGCCUAACACAUGCAAGUCGAACGAGAACGGCUUCAGCAAUGGGGCCUAGUACAGUGGCGAACGGGUGAGUAACACGUGGGUGAUCUACCCUCAAGUGGGGGAUAACCCGGGGAAACCUGGGCUAAUACCGCAUAAUAUCCGCAAGGAUCAAAGGAGCAAUUCGCUGGAGGAUGAGCCCGCGGCCGAUUAGCUAGUUGGCGGGGUAACGGCCCACCAAGGCUCUGAUCGGUAGCCGGUCCGAGAGGACGCACGGCCACACUGGAACUGAAACACGGUCCAGACUCCUACGGGAGGCAGCAGUGGGGAAUCUUGCACAAUGGGGGAAACCCUGAUGCAGCGACGCCGCGUGGGUGAUGAAGCUCUUCGGAGUGUAAAGCCCUUUCGGCAGGGAAGAGAUAAGACGGUACCUGCAAAAGAAGCCCCGGCUAACUACGUGCCAGCCGCCGCCGUAAAAC